rnacentral:ncRNA from 2 species
AGUGAGGAUAGAGGCGCAAAGACAUUAGUACACAAUAUGAGGAGAAUGAGGUCCUAUGAUCAUUGUGGAAAGGGGAAUUUGCCGAAGUGGAUAGAAUCUCAUGUUCUUGAAGCUGGUUCUGCUAUUGAAUAAAUGCAGGACUGUCAUAUAGGGAACUAUAUGGAGGGCUAUCUUUCGC